rnacentral:rRNA from 1 species
GGGGAACCCUGAUCCAGCCAUGCCGCGUGUGUGAAGAAGGCCUUAUGGUUGUAAAGCACUUUAAGCGAGGAGGAGGCUACUGAGACUAAUACUCUUGGAUAGUGGACGUUACUCGCAGAAUAAGCACCGGCUAACUCUGUGCCAGCAGCCGCGGUAAUACAGAGGGUGCGAGCGUUAAUCGGAUUUACUGGGCGUAAAGCGUGCGUAGGCGGCUUUUUAAGUCGGAUGUGAAAUCCCCGAGCUUAACUUGGGAAUUGCAUUCGAUACUGGGAAGCUAGAGUAUGGGAGAGGAUGGUAGAAUUCCAGGUGUAGCGGUGAAAUGCGUAGAGAUCUGGAGGAAUACCGAUGGCGAAGGCAGCCAUCUGGCCUAAUACUGACGCUGAGGUACGAAAGCAUGGGGAGCAAACAGGAUUAGAUACCCUGGUAGUCCAUGCCGUAAACGAUGUCUACUAGCCGUUGGGGCCUUUGAGGCUUUAGUGGCGCAGCUAACGCGAUAAGUAGACCGCCUGG